rnacentral:rRNA from 1 species
AACGAACGCUGGCGGCAGGCUUAACACAUGCAAGUCGAACGGGCGUAGCAAUACGUCAGUGGCGGACGGGUGAGUAACACGUGGGAAUAUGCCUUUCGGUUCGGAACAACUCGGGGAAACCCGUGCUAAUUCCGGAUACGCCCUUACGGGGAAAGAUUUAUCGCCGAAAGAUUAGCCCGCGUUGGAUUAGCUAGUUGGUGAGGUAAAGGCUCACCAAGGCGACGAUCCAUAGCUGGUUUGAGAGAACGACCAGCCACACUGGGACUGAGACACGGCCCAGACUCCUACGGGAGGCAGCAGUGGGGAAUCUUGGACAAUGGAGGAAACUCUGAUCCAGCCAUGCCGCGUGAGUG